GUCCUAUGGCGAGGACAUGCUAGGAUGAACUGCUGAAGCCUCUCCCAUGCUUUAGAAAUUGACUAAUUAGGCGUCUGCUGGAAAUGAGAGAUUCUUCCUCAAAGAGC